AACGAACGCUGGCGGCAGGCCUAACACAUGCAAGUCGAAUGCUGUAGCAAUACAGAGUGGCAGACGGGUGAGUAACGCGUGGGAACAUGCCCUUCGGUUCGGAAUAACUCAGGGAAACUUGAGCUAAUACCGGAUACGCCCUUAGGGGGAAAGAUUUAUUGCCGAAGGAUUGGCCCGCGUCCGAUUAGCUAGUUGGUGAGGUAAUGGCUCACCAAGGCGACGAUCGGUAGCUGGUCUGAGAGGAUGAUCAGCCACACUGGGACUGAGACACGGCCCAGACUCCUACGGGAGGCAGCAGUGGGGAAUAUUGGACAAUGGGCGCAAGCCUGAUCCAGCCAUGCCGCGUGAGUGAUGAAGGCCCUAGGGUUGUAAAGCUCUUUCGCCAGGGACGAUAAUGACGGUACCUGGAUAAGAAGCCCCGGCUAACUUCGUGCCAGCCGCCGCCGUAAAAC
rnacentral:rRNA from 1 species